rnacentral:rRNA from 1 species
CGGAACGGGUGAGUAAUGCGUGACCAACCUGCCCCAUGCUCCAGAAUAGCUCUUGGGAAACGGGUGGUAAUGCUGGAUGCUCCAACUUGACGCAUGUCUUGUUGGGAAAGNGUUUAGUGGCAUGGGAUGGGGUCGCGUCCUAUCAGCUUGUAGGCGGGGUAAUGGCCCACCUAGGCUUCGACGGGUAGCCGGCCUGAGAGGGCGGACGGCCACAUUGGGGACUGAGAUACGGCCCAGACUCCUACGGGAGGCAGCAGAC